AAAAUCUACGUUCUGCUUAAAUGAUGCCGCUUAUUUCUCCUAUGAGCUUUAUUAAAAUCGAUCGAAAGUCCGCGUUUAAUGGAAAAGAUGUGCGGUGUUUUCCUAAUUUAUUGCAAAAGUGGUAGAACUAGAAAUUAAGAAAUACGAAGAAAUAUCCAAGUUAUUGCUGUUGUAAUCUUUUUUCUUUCUUUGUCCACUAAUUUUUACUCGGUAGAUGAAAUCAAUAAAUAAUUGAUGUCAAAUGGCCUAGCGAGAACCACAAAAUCAUUUUGGGGUGGGGAGCCUCUGGUCCGAGCCUGGCUACGUCUCUGAGUUAAAGUGUUAAUCAACUCAACAAACCAUUUUAUCUUGUUAUUUCUUUUAAAUGAUAUU
rnacentral:sRNA from 1 species